rnacentral:rRNA from 1 species
AGCCUCUGGCCCGUGAUUGACGCUGAGGCUCGAAAGCGCGGGUAUCGAACAGGAUUAGAUACCCUGGUAGUCCGCGCUGUAAACGAUGGAUACUCGUUUUCGGCGACAUACUGUCGGAAACUGAGCGAAAGCAUUAAGUAUCCCACCUGGGGAGUACGCCGGCAACGGUGAAACUCAAAGGAAUUGACGGGGGCCCGCACAAGCGGAGGAACAUGUGGUUUAAUUCGAUGAUACGCGAGGAACCUUACCCGGAUUUGAAUUGUGCCUGACGAGGAGCCGAGAAGCUCCGUCCCUUCGGGGCAGGUAUGAAGGUGCUGCAUGGUUGUCGUCAGCUCGUGCCGUGAGGUGUCGGCUUAAGUGCCAUAACGAGCGCAACCCCUGCCGUCAGUUGCCAUCAGGUAAUGCUGGGCACUCUGUCGGGACUGCCAUCGCAAGAUGUGAGGAGGGUGGGGAUGACGUCAAAUCAGCACGGCCCUUACGUCCGGGGCUACACACGUGUUACAAUGGGGGGCACAGCGAGCAGCUUGCCGGCGACGGUUGGCCAAUCUUUAAAUCCCCUCUCAGUUCGGACUGGAGUCUGCAACCCGACUCCACGAAGCU